UGAACAAAAUAUCUUUAAUAGAUAUAAACAUUUUUACACAUCACAGCUCAAAGGAAACAUCAUCACAUGCUGUAAUACAUGUCAAGAAGGAAGGUGCAAAUUAUGAUGAGCGUCAGAAUCCUUUGAUAUAUAUACAGGUUGUACAGAAUGGGAACCAAAGGGGAAGUGUGGGGGUUUUAAUAGUACAACUGACUGUAGCCAUGGAGGGUCUACCAAGGUACUUACUAAUAGACUUAGAUGACUGUAGCCAUGGAGGGUCUACCAAGGUACUUACUAAUAGACUUAGAUGACUGUAGCCAUGGAGGGUCUACCAAGGUACUUACUAAUAGACUUAGAUGACUGUAGCCAUGGAGGGUCUACCAAGUUACUUACUAAUAGACUUAGAUGACUGUAGCCAUGGAGGGUCUACCGAGGUACUUACUAAUAGACUUAGAUGACUGUAGCCAUGGAGGGUCUACCAAGGUACUUACUAAUAGACUUAGAUGACUGUAGCCAUGGAGGGUCUACCGAGGUACUUACUAAUAGACUUAGAUGACUGUAGCCAUGGAGGGUCUACCAAGGUACUUACUAAUAGACUUAGAUGACUGUAGCCAUGGAGGGUCUACCAAGGUACUUACUAAUAGACUUAGAUGACUGUAGCCAUGGAGGGUCUACCAAGGUACUUACUAAUAGACUUAGAUGACUGUAGCCAUGGAGGGUCUACCAAGGUACUUACUAAUAGACUUAGAUGACUGUAGCCAUGGAGGGUCUACCAAGGUACUUACUAAUAGACUUAGAUGACUGUAGCCAUGGAGGGUCUACCAAGGUACUUACUAAUAGACUUAGAUGACUGUAGCCAUGGAGGGUCUACCAAGGUACUUACUAAUAGACUUAGAUGACUGUAGCCAUGGAGGGUCUACCAAGGUACUUACUAAUAGACUUAGAUGACUGUAGCCAUGGAGGGUCUACCAAGGUACUUACUAAUAGACUUAGAUGACUGUAGCCAUGGAGGGUCUACCAAGUUACUUACUAAUAGACUUAGAUGACUGUAGCCAUGGAGGGUCUACCAAGGUACUUACUAAUAGACUUAGAUGACUGUAGCCAUGGAGGGUCUACCAAGGUACUUACUAAUAGACUUAGAUGACUGUAGCCAUGGAGGGUCUACCAAGGUACUUACUAAUAGACUUAGAUGACUGUAGCCAUGGAGGGUCUACCAAGGUACUUACUAAUAGACUUAGAUGACUGUAGCUGGCAUUUCAGGAUUUACUUAAAAUCGUUAUGUGUCAUGACAUACAGUACCGAUUU